rnacentral:tRNA from 2 species
GUAUCCGCCGCGGCGGAAAAGGACUGAAAAUCCUUGUGUCGCCGGUUCGAUCCCGGCCCACACCA